AAGUCGCGACAGGGCCUGGAGCUGGACGGGGAAGAAAGACGUCCUCCUUUCACCGGGAUGUGUGUAUAUAAAUAGGGUUCUCCGUGGGGCCAGCGGGGGAUGUUUGUUAUCAGGGACAGCACUUGUGUAUCUGCCUUUGGAGUGCUUCUGGGUGCGAUUUUUUGUGUCAUUGAAUGUGGCUGGUUGUGUUUGAGAUGAUGCGAUGGGGAUUGGAGUGCGGUUUAUGAAAAUUUUAUGAUUGGAAUUGUAUCUUGCUGUGUAGGACUGAAAAUGUUAUGGGGGCCUGUGAGAUGAUGGGAUUGACUGUGGGUGCAUGAGGUUGCGUUUCUGUGAACGUGGCUGGAAUUGACUGAACAUUUCUGUGAUAGAUUUCUUUUCCUUGGGCCUUCCCUGCAGGCCGUGCAUGUGAGUCACUCAGUAUGUGUCUGGGAAACAUGUCUGAUUGUGUGGUGAGUGUGUGUGCUUCUGGUGUGUUCCGGCAGGACUAUGUGGAGUUGGCUGUCGGGAUGUAAAACCCAGAGCCUCACUCUCCUCAACUCUGAAACAGGGAAAGGAAUGUUGCCUUUUCAAGGAGCGUCAGCUUUACUGAAGGAUUUAGUGAAAAAACAGAUUUUUCUGAAAAAUUAAAUAUUUAUUUUACAUUUAAUCACAGGUUUAUUAUGGAGAAGCAUGCAAAUAAGCAAUGCUUUAAAAAUAAGUUUUCAAAGGAAAUUCCAGGAUUAGGAAGUUAGAUAUCUUGGAUUCUAGAUCAGACACUCUUUUCCCGCUGUUAAAGGUUAAGAAACUUAAGACUCAAAGCAUGUGUUCCUACUGACAUUACUAAGUCAAAUUUAACAUUACAGGGUUUUAUUCUUACCUUUUGUAUUUCUGCUUCUUGUCUCUAACAGAAAUCCUAGUUCCUAGUAGUAUUAACAUAUUUAUAUGCAGUAGCCUAGAAUUUCCAUAAAGUAGUUUAAAACUGCAGUACCAAUAUCAUUAGUAACAAUAAAGCUAGUAAAGAGAAUUUUAGAUUGUAGUUCUUUUAAAGCAGAGGUUGACAAACUAAGCUUGCAGGCCAAAUCUGGCCUGACACCCGUUGUAUAGCUAGUAAGUGUAUAUGGUGUAUUUCUCUUUGUUUUAAAAACAAUAAGAAGAAGAAGAAGAAGAUUUUGUGAUUUUAUUUAUUUCAGAUUUUAAUGUCCUUAAAUAAAGUUUUAUUGGAACGUAGCCAUGCUCCUUUAUGUAUUGUCUAUGACUGCAUUUGAAAUACAAGGGCAGACUUGAGUAGGAGUUUUUUUGUUUUGUUUUGCUUUGCUUUGCUUUUGGGGCCACAUCUGUGGCAUAUGGAAGUUUAUUGGAGCUGCAGCUUCCUGUUUAUGCCACAGCCACAGCAACUCAACAUCCGAGCCUCAUCUGCAACCUGCAUACCAUAGUUCACAGCAACACUGGAUCCUUAACCCACUGAGCCAGGCCAGGGAUCAAACCUGUAUCCUUAUGCAUACUAGUUGGGUUCAUUACCACUGAGCCACAAUGGGAAUUCCUUUUUCUGUUUUUUUUGUUUUGUUUUGUUUUUUGGCUGUGGUGUGCAGCAGCUUGAUGUGAGAUCUCAGUUCCCAGACCAGGGAUUGAACCCAAACCACAGUAAAAUUGCCAGAUCUAACCACUAGACCACAAAGGAACUCCCAGAAUUGAGUAGAUAGGCUGAAUGGCCUAUAGCUUAAAAUACUGUCAAUUUUAUAAAGCUGUUGCAAACAAUGAAUCAGUAACCUGUUGCUCCUAGCAGAAAUACAGUGUUAGUUUCCUAUAAGCAUCUAGUCACAACAUUUUUCCUCAACCAAUCAAUACAUAACAUUGUUUCAUGCAUUCUGUCAGACACAUAUAUUGUUGAUUUACUGAGCUCAAAGCCAACAGCACUAUAACAUUGGUGAAUGAAGUUUAUCUAACACAUAUUUUCUCUGUAAGGCACAUCACAGCCAUCCUGCCCUUAGGAACACUAGCCAGCACUUCUGCAUAGAUUUGGGGACCAUUUUAAACAGCAAAGUCACCAAUAAAAAGCACAAAAAUGAGGAGAAAAAGGUGAUACUAAUCAGCCUGUAAAAAGGAUACUUGUUUACAGUAUAAGAACUGAAACGAGGGCAGAGGUUCCCUUAUUUGACUGAAGCUGAGGACAUGGGACUCUGGGGUUACAAAUGAAUUUUAACGAGUAGGUAAGUUCACAAAUAUGGAAUUUGCAAAUAAUAAGAAUAGACUGUAUUUACUGUCUGAUCUCUUACAGAGAAAGUUUGCCAGCUCCUGUUUUAGAGUAUAUCCCUCUUAAUUAUACAAUUAGAGUGUUUAAAAACUACUUGAAAUCAGAGUUCCUGUUGUGGCAUAGUGGAAACGAAUAUAACUAGUAUCAGUGAGGAUACAGGCUCAAUCCCUGGCCUCGCUCAGUGGGUUGGGGAUCUGGCAUUGCUGUGAGCUGUGGUGUAGGUUGCUAACGUGGCUUGGAUUCCGAGUUGCUGUGGCUGUGUUGUGGGCCGGCAGCUCCAUCUCCAAUUCAACCCCUAGCCAUAUGCCAUAGAUGAGGCCCUCAAAAACAAAGCAAAACCUACUUGAAAUCAUUAUUUUCCUGUACCAUCAAUAAAGUCUGUAAUUAAUUAUGAUUAAUUAAAUACAAAUAAUAGAAAAAAUAAUCAAAAAGGAAAGCUCCUCUUUAUAGACGAAUGCUAGCUAAGAAGUUUGUUUUACAUGAUGGUGAAAUCUGCUUCAAAUACAUUUACAAUAUUUGAUUUUGAUGAGGAUUUUGUAUAGUAUGGUGCUUUCCUUUAAGUUCAAGUUCAUUUCUAUUGUCUCCUUCCCUAUCAGGUAGCACUUGCAAUUGGGUAAGGCAGUGACGUCAUUAAAACAAAUAUAGCUUCAUGGCAUGACAGCUAGCCAUUGCUGGGGUAAAACUAUAACAAAUUUAUCGGGCUUUGCAUUUAAGUGGGCCUGCUGGGUGUGCUCCCUUAUCUGGUAGGGCUGGUGGCUACUCUUGGGUGGGACAACUAACUGGGUUCUGCAAUCACUUCUGGUCACAUGGGAUAGCAGGCUGUGAUCCCUUUCAGGGCAGUGCCACUGGUUGGAUUCUGUGAUUGGGCAGAGUUGCAGGCUGUGCCCUGCAAAUUGAUCUUGGUUGGGUGGGCCUCAGGCUGUGCUUCCUGACUAGAUGCUGCUGUUCAGGUAGGGCCAUAGGCCAGCCGGGUUUCAUGGUAGGAUGGGGCCUCAGUCUAUACUCUGCAAUCAGCAGGGACUGCAGGUUGUGCCCCAAAGUUGGGUGGGGCUGCAGGCUGGGCUUUGAGAUUGGGCACACCAUUGGCUGUGCUCUACUACCAGACAAAGUCAUUGGUCAGGCCCUCUGGUCAGGCAGGGAUUCCUGCUGUACCCCACAGUUGAAUGGGACUAGAAACUGUGCUCCAGGCUGGGUUACUGUCCAAGCUCCUUGACUAAGUGGGGCCACAGUCUGUGCUCUGCAAUUGAGUGGUGUCACUGGCUGAGCAUCCUGCCUAGGGGAGGCUGCAGGCUGUUUUCAGUAAUUGGGCAGGCUCUGCUGCUGGGUGGAGUUAGUUGUACACUAGGCUCUGUGGUUGGGCAGUACCGUAGGCUGGUCUCAAAGGCUGCCCAGGGUCAUUGAUCAGGCUCCCUGGUUAUGCAUGGCCAGAGGUUACGCUCAAGAGAUUGGCAGGGCAGUUAGCUUGGCUUCUGACUCAGCGAGGCAUAGGAUGUUCUCCACAGCUGCCAAGCAUCCAAAGCCACACUCCCCAGAGGGAUGAGACUAGAUGCCAUGCUCAGAUCUUGGGUGGAGCUACAAAUUUGCUCCUCUGCCCAGGUAGGCUGUAAGAUGUGCUCUGUGGCUGCCAGGUGUCUGUGGCUAUGCUUCCUAAAGGGGCAGGGCUAGACAUUAUGCUCAGCAGUUGGGUGGUACUGUUAAUUUGCAGCCCUGCCUGGAUAGGUCAAAGAAUGUGCUCCAUGGGUCCUCGGUGUCUGUGGCCAGGUUUCCUGGUGGGGUGAGACUGGUAGUUAUGCUGAGUAGUUGGGCAGGGCCGUGAAUUUCCUCCCUUGCCUGAGAAUGGGCCGGCACAGCCUACUGGCUGGGGAUCCAAAUCAGGCAGAACUGCCAACCAAGCUCCCUGGCCAUGAGACCACUGGCUCAGUUUUGCAGGUGGGCAAACUACUGGCUGGGAUCUCUGCUCAGGUACUGGCUGUAAGCAGAAACAUAGUCUGUGAAGAUCUAAAUGCUCGUUGCUUCUUUGUCUGCCUUUCUUCUGCACCUCUACCUAAUCCCUUGUGGUGGAACUCCACAGACUCACCCAGCGAAUCCCAAGAGGUAAGACCUGGUGGAUUUCCCAGGAAGUGUCCUACGAUGCUGAGGAAGCCGGAUGUCCACUCAGGGUUCUCUUUUUCCCACUGGAGGAACUGUAGGCCUGGUGGGAGUGCUUCUUGGUAUAAUGCUGUGCUGGCCUGGGGCAGGGGCAAUGUGGUCAAAAGGGAGGCACUCUUUUUACCCUUCUAAGGUGGUUCUUUGCAGGCAAGCAGGGUGCUUCAACUUCAACCCUGGGUUCUGGGAAUUUCACAAUAAUGUCCUAUCUCUGUAUAGUUUCUGACUGCUCUUCUUGUGAGAGGGGUUGAAGUAGGAAAUGACCUACAAUGACAUCUUGAUGAAGUCUUCAGCCCCUAAAAUAUUCGGUUUCCAACAAAAAAAUUGUGAUGCACACAGAGAAACCAGAAAGUGUGACCCAAACACAGGGGAAAAAAAGCAACCAACAGAAAAUAUCACUAAUAAGGUCCAAUAUUAUACGUAACACAAAAACAUCAAAGUAGCCAUAAUAAAUGUCAAAAAAAAAAAAAAACAAGUAAAGCCAUACUUAAAGAAGUAAAGGAAGUUAUGAUGAAAAUGUCUUAUCAAAAUUGACAAUCUGGGAGUUCCCGUCAUGGCUCAGUGGUUAACUAAUCCGACUAGGAACCAUGAGGUUGCAGGUUCGAUCCCUGGCUUUGCUCAGUGGGUUAAGGAUCUAGCAUUGCCGUGAGCUGUGGUGUAGGUUGCAGACACAGCUCAGAUCCUGCGUUCCUGUGGCUCUGUCAUAGGCUGGCAGCUACAGCUCCGAUUGGACCCCUAGCCUGGGAACCUCCAUAUGCCACAGGAGUG
rnacentral:lncRNA from 1 species